CGCACGAGCGCACCCCUAUCCUUAGUUGCUAGCAGGUAAUGCUGAGAACUCUANCNNNUNCUGCCGGUGAUAAACCGGAGGAAGGUGGGGACGACGUCAAGUCAUCAUGGCCCUUACGUGUAGGGCUACACACGUGCUACAAUGGCGCAUACAGAGUGCUGCGAACUCGCGAGAGUAAGCGAAUCACUUAAAGUGCGUCGUAGUCCGGAUUGGAGUCUGCAACUCGACUCCAUGGAGUCGGAAUCGCUAGUAAUCGCAUAUCAGAAUGAUGCGGUGAAUACGUUCCCGGGCCUUGUACACACCGCCCGUCACACCAUGGGAGUGGGUUGCUCCAGAAGUGGAUAGUCUAACCUUCGGGAGGACGUUCACCACGGAGUGAUUCAUGACUGGGGUGAAGUCGUAACAAGGUAGCCCUAGGGGAACCUGGGGCUGGAUCACCUCCUU
rnacentral:rRNA from 1 species